CUUCUCUCCCUCGCGCACCCGAGCCAUCCCAACGCCGCCCUUCCCUUCUCCUCCUUGCCCUAACCGCCGGCGGCAGUUACUCCUCCUCGAACAUACAACCCCUCCGCCGAGCCCUCCUUUUCAUCUUCUUCAUUUUUGUUUUUCUCCUGAGCCGCACACCCGACGCCAGCGCGCACGCCUUCCUCCUCUCCUCUGCCACCACCCCAAUCGGUCGGCCAUAGCCGAGCCCUAGGUGUCGACGCCCUCUCCGACUUCCUCUGUGCUGCUACCGAGACUCCUUGGCCGAGUUUCCUCCGUGCCCUAGCCAGCCCGAUGCCACCGCCGACCACCCCGUGCCCUAGCCAAGCCUUCUUUCCGCACGGGGCUAGCCCAGCGACGCCAACGGAUCAUUGGCCUCUCUUGUGCCCGAGCAUUGUGCCGACGCUGACGCACAGCCCCUCUCGGUGCCUCCUUCCUUCCAAGCAGUGGAGAUUUAGCUAGGGAUUUCCUUCCAGCAGUUGAAAUUGAGCAGUCAUUCGAUUUCCGGCAGCUACUCAAUUUUGGCGGCUGCCCGAUCUGGCCGUGAUCAACCGGAGAAGCUUAGUGUUGAGGACUUUGACGCGAGACGAGUAUCUCGGAGUCGGAAUUGGACCUUUCUUUUGUCGGAGGCGGGUACUUUUGACUUUAUGUCUUUGAUAUGCAUAGUGGUGAAAUUUACAAGUAGCAAUAAUUAUGUUCUCUUAUUUGUUUCGGUUAAUCACUACCCGAUACCUGUUACCUGCUGAUUGAUGGUUUGUUUUGCAUCUCGUGUUGUUACGUACCUGAUUACACAUGCUCAUAGGGGUAGUGAUAUAACCAUGUUUCACCAUGUUCAGGACCUAGGUUUGAUACCUUAUCUGAUCAAUGUACUUUGAUGUAAUUUAUUUACUAUGGUGCACAUCAUAUGUGUAUGUAGAUUAGUUCGGUAUAUUACCAUGCUUAGUGGCAUGCACCAUUUGCAUGAUUGCAUGCUGUGUGAUAGAUUGCUCCAUUAUUGUUGAGCACAUUGCCAGUUUCAUCACUGUUCGGUGCUCCAUUGUAACGCUUAUGAGUAGCGCG